ACCACCUAACCCUUCUAUUAUGUAGUCCUGGUUAUAGGUAUCUGAUAAGCUUGGAAUAACAUUACUUUUAACCUUUUCAGCAGGAAAGUAGUAAUAUGUUUGACCUUUUAUCUGGUAAAGCCUUCUGUCUAAAGUAACAUUUCUCUUUCAUUCCAGGAGAUGGAAUUUCCACUGCAAGUAUCCUAAUGCAAAAUGUACAGGCAUCAAUGUUAGAUAUCCCAACCACACUCUCACUGCCCAAAAGGCUUCUGUUGAGCAAAAAUUUGAGGAAAUAGGAUAAUUCUCCCUUUGGCUUUUUCCUGUACUUAACAUAGAAUGAAAUUGGUUCCAACGUCAUCCUUCAAACAGACCUGUGAACAUUGAGGCUCAGACUUUCAAAGGAACCUUAGACAGAUGCCCAAAUUCCUUUUGAUAUUGACGGAGUUUCUUUAGGUUCUUUUGAAAAUGGUAGCCUGACUAUUCUUCUGGUUAAAACCUUCACUGAUUUGGAAUAUAUUUUCAUUGUAGACAGCAUUCCCACUAUAAUGAAGCAGUCUACAAUAGCUUGACGUACAAGAUGCACGCAGUCAAUUCUGCACUAUUUCCAAGUGAUGUUUAGGUCCCGUAAAGUUUUUAUGGUACCUUUUAUGAUAGCCUUACCUGACUGAUUAGUAGCAAUUAACAUUCAUUUGACAGUCAGAGAUUCAGAGACUAACAUACUCAGAGACUGAGUAAUAAUAUACCAUUUUAAUAUUAAAAUCUUCAACGCCAUAAAACUUUUCAAUGGAGAAAGAGAAAUCUUCAGUAAUACUCUGACUUUUUAAUUGUAGCUUGUUACCAUUGUUCCUAAAGCUUUUCCUGAAUGUUCAUAUUGUGCCUCAAAUUCAGAUGAAUGAAUAAGGUGAACAAUACUUCUUCAAAUCUGAAGUGAGAUUAAAUUUUAAACAAUCUGAAAUUGUGCAUUGUACCAAAGCACUUAAUUUUAAGUUCCAAGUUAAGCUUAAACUGUUUGUGUGCAAAUGCCAGUGAUUUCAAAUAAGAACCACACAGAAUCCAGUUCUAUAAAUAAUUGGAGUGCCUAACUAUGUUCUUAAGUUUCAAUUUAACAUUUAUUUUCCUAAUUCAGAAUAGUGUGGUGUUUCACUAGCACUUCUCCCAUUAUCAUCAGUUUGGUGUAAUGGCUGGCUUAAGGGAGUGCAUGACUUACAAAGCCAGGCCUAGGAAGUUCUGCAGUUUAAUUAGUUUUGGCACUAGCAGUUAGCAGGAGGGGAGCCUACCACUAAAAUGAUUAAUGUGGUACAUUUCUGAUGUUUUUAUAAGAUUGGAUAUGGGAGGAAAUCACACCAAGAACAACCAUGUCUUGUAUCCGUACUGGACAGAACGAAGCCCACUUGAUGGGAAGAAACGGUGACACACUCAGUGUGACAAGGCCUCUUCAAGAAGGGCAGUGCAACAACUGAACAAGGCCCUCUAGAGCUGGAGUUUGCCUUCAGCCAUAUUUACAGGCCAAUGUGCAGUGGUAUUUUAUGUGCUUUUUAUAAUAAUUAAACAUGAUUUCAUUUUGGUGCAAGUGGCUUUUACAGCAAAUAACUUUGGAAUUAAGAGUUAGAAUUUUCAGACACCCACUUCUAAUGUCUCAGGCUGUCAGCACAGAGGCACCGCUAGACUGAUUUUGGUGUCUCUGGAUUUAAUAAAUGCAGAAACUGUUUGACUACUUAAUAGGAAUUUCUUAAUGUGCCACACUUAGUUUUAGCAACACGUACUCCUUAUUGGCAAUAAAACCGGAACUGAAUUGACUCACAUUUUAGACAAUAUAUUCUUUCUAUUUCAACUGGCAGCACCAAAAUAACCCCUGCAAGGUUGGUGCAACAGCCAGAGCUUUUAGAGUUAUGUGCCUCUUGUAGAGAGACUGUUCAGGUGCAACUGAAGGUCUCCAUACAACUGUUUGCUUGUAUUCCAGUAAGAGUUGGAGUUUUCAGCCCUACUUUGCUAAGCAGUGUGUGGACACUUGGCAAAAGUCUCUGUCCUGAACUUUGCAACGUAAGUAAGCUCUAUCAUCAUUUAGAGGCACUAUUGGAAGGCUUACAUGUCUUUACUUGUUGUUGUUAUCAAUUAGAUUUUUAGGCAAAAAGAUUCUUUUCCCCAAGAAUCAGGCAAGCACAGACAAUACUGAAGGGAGGUUAUUCACGAUACCAGGAAGACUGACAAGCAGCUUAAAAAAUAUGGUGCUAUAGUGGCCAGUUAUAUACAUUCUCUUAUCAAUUCAUUUCCAUUUAUCUGUACAUACAGAGACAGACACUGUUACAAAUUAAGAGAGAACCCUGAACAAGGAUAAGAACAGUACAUACAUACAGAGGUCAUCCUAAUUGCAUCAAACGUCUAUGACUACCUUGCGUGGGAAGGAGGCAGGUUGGGGGCUAGGGAUGAGUGCUUAUAGAUAUCCGGUGGGCUGUGAAGGGAGGGUUUAUUCUGUUCUAAGAGCUGAGCUACUGGGCGGGCAUUGACCAUAUAAGCUUAUCAAUUGUUUACAGUUGUAGGUGUUGUUGCUACUGAAGCAUUCCUGCUUGUUCUGCCGUUUCUGUUUUAGCUGUUAGCUAAAUUUUAACUCUUGCCUGACAAGAUGUUAAUGCAUCAAAGAUGUAACUUAUGGUGUUUUCAAAAUUAUAACACGGCAAUCUAAUUCUUGCAAAAGUAAUGGAAUGGUACUACUAAAGCAUCUUUGAUAUUGAGUAUCACCUUUAGUAAAUCAGUCCAGAAAAGAUGCAGUUGGCUGUACAGCCUAAGAUGGUGGUGGAUGUCUGGGCUGAACGGGCAUUGCUACUGAAAAAUCUCCCAUCAAAGGCAAGAAGGGUUGCACGUGCACCUGCCGUGGAGCUAUACUACUUCAAGAAAUAAGGCUCUCUUCCACUUCACCCUCUUCUGCUGUUAAGCUGCCAGAGAAGCCAUGAUUCUUCCCUUCUGCAGAAGUUGAUAAGAUUUACAAAGUGAAAGCAUUGCACACCUUUUAUGGCAGGCACAGUGGACUGCUUUUGGUUGGAAGGGCCUCUCUUUUGAUCCAACAAGUCGACAGGACCGUCCACGAGGGAACAACACUUGCAGAAGGGAUGGAAGGACUUGACCUGUGACAGCCCCAUAAGACUGAUGGGUGACCUCGGCCACCAUACUACUUAAUGACCAUAAACUCUCAAUGCACGAAAACCAUGCUGUAAGAUUUGUGAAAGGUUCUGUGACUUACUG